GGCAUGAGAUUAUAGAGAGAGAGAGAGAGAGACAUUUCCUGUAUUAAGGAUGAAAACCAUUAUUACUAAAGUAAGAAACCCAGUUAAGACAACUCCAAACCUCUAC